rnacentral:rRNA from 1 species
AUUGCACGCUGGCGGCAGGCUUAACACAUGCAAGUCGAACGAGUGGCGGACGGGUGAGUAAUGCUUUGGAAUCCAGUUUAUGGAGGGGGAUAACUACGGGAAACUGUAGAUAAUACCGCGUACCAUAGGAUGACCCCAAGUGGGAUUAGGUAGUUGGUGAGGUAAAGGCUCACCAAGCCGACGAUCGCUAGCUGGUCUGAGAGGAUGACCAGCCACACUGGGACUCAGACACGGCCCAGACGCCUACGGGAGGCAGCAGUGGGGAAUAUUGCGCAAUGGGGGCAACCUGACGCAGCCAUGCCGCGUGAAUGAAGAAGGCCUUCGGGUUGUAAAGUUCUUUCGGUAGCGAGGCGUUAACUACAGAAGAAGCACCGGCUAACUCCGUGCCAGCAGCCGCGGUAAUUC